AAAGUUGAAAAGCACUUUGAAAAGAGAGUGCAAGAGAACGUGAAACCGUUAUAGUGGAAGCGGAUAGAGUCGACGUAUCCAGUGCGUAUUCAGCCAAAUUUUGGGGCAAUUUUUUGGUUUUAAGUUCUGCAAAGUCUUUGAUCAAUUGAUUUGUCUCAAAAAUUGGUGCAUUUGCGUACAGAGUGCGCCGAAUCGGUUGAAGUCGCCAUUUGAAGACUGCAAAGCAGACUACUUUUUGUAGAAACUUUUGCAUUUGGAUGGUGGAUGAUUUUGAUCGUAAAAUGAAGUUGGUAUUUCGUGAAAGUGUUGGUCGAUUGAGGAGGCUUUUGUACGAUGCAUGCGUUUUGCAAUUUUGUUCUUAGUCGAUCGAUGCUUUUACUCUACUUCACAUUCGGUGUUUAGUCGAUCACCUAUUUGACCCGUCUUGAAACACGGACCAAGGAGUUUAAGGUGUACGCAAGUCAUUGGCUGUUAAAAGUCAAAGGCGUAAUGAAAGUGGGACACUUGGUGUCUGUGGUGUGAGCUUAGUUUGUUUCGACGAGCUUAGCGCAACAUCGACCCAUGACUAGGACUUGUUCUGUUGUGGAGUCUGAGCGUACGCUUUGAGACCCGAAAGAUGGUGAACUAUGCCUGAACAGGACGAAGUCAGAGGAAACUCUGAUGGAAGUCCGAAGCGGUUCUGACGUGCAAAUCGAUCGUCUGAUU
rnacentral:rRNA from 1 species